GCCUGGGUGGCUCAGUCAGUUAAGUGUCUGACUUCAGCUCAGGUCACGAUCUCAUGGUUCGUGGGUUUGAGCCCCAUGUCAGGCU
rnacentral:tRNA from 1 species